AAGUAACGUAAGGCAUUGCUAGAGCAAUUGUGAUUAUAGCAAUGUACCAACCCCAGAAGCUUCUGAGGUGUCAUUCUGUCCUGGUACAGUU
ensembl:snoRNA predicted gene, 22963